GAAGGCUGGAUGGCACCGAUCGCAUCCGACGGAUGUGCGUCCUGCGCAUCCUGCAACCCUAAACCCGUACAUCGCACUCGCCAGGCAAAUGGCGGCAACUGGACAAAAGAAGGCGGUUUUCAUCCGUGACAUUUCCGCCGGUAUGCCGGGUCCAACUCUCGUGCAUCACCGAACAAAAAAAUGCCCUCUGCGACACGGGCCACACCUGCCCGGGGCGGCAGUAGACGCCGCCGCUGAGGGCGAUCGGGCUGGCGGGAACCGCGCAGCGACUCUCCUGCGCGAGUGGUGUGGCCACGACUCCGCCGAUUCCGAGCUCGAAGCGACUCGCUGCGGUGCUGCCAUUUUAG
rnacentral:telomerase_RNA from 1 species